GAGGGUGAAAGCCCAUGACCCAUUCCAAUGCCGUGUUCUGCACGUUAAACAUAUUCGUGUUGGCUUCGGACACACGUUAAAGACGCGAAAAAGCCCUGUUUACGAAUCUAAUGUGAAAGAACUUUACAACCAAUGACGUUGGAUCCCUUGGCAUGCCUGAUCGAUGAAGACCGUUGCCAACUGCGAUAAGUGGUGUGAUGCGCAAGUCUAAAACUUAUAAGUGAACCAUCGAAUUGUUGAACGCACUGCACCGAGCUCUACCCGAGCACGGUAUGUCCCAUUGAGCGCUAUUAAUGUCUUCGAGAGGGCUGAUCUUUGGUUGGCACCCGGGUUCGGAGUCCACAGUGCCCUUGCACUGCGUUCUCUCAGAUGGAUUUGAAUGGUGUCUGGUUGCACUGGAACCUCUAUGUCAUGAGAAUGCAUGGAGUGCCCGUUGAGCGCCUGAUGCCUGGGACAGCACAGAUGAUGGCUGUCCAAGCAUGGUUAAUUGAGAAUGUAGCCUCACUGGGACAAGACAACCCGCUAGACUUAAGCAUAUUAAUCAGCGGAGGAAAAGAAACUAACUAGGAUUCCCUUAGUAACUGCGAGUGAAGCGGGAUGAGCUCAAU
rnacentral:rRNA from 1 species